UCCUUGAUGACCUUGAUGAUGAGGACUAU
rnacentral:piRNA from 1 species